rnacentral:rRNA from 2 species
UUUUCAUUGAGAGUUUGAUCCUGGCUCAGGAUGAACGCUGGCGGCGUGGAUAAGGCAUGCAAGUCGAGCGAGCCAGUGUUUCACACUGGAAAUUUCAAGAAACAAGAAACAAUAACCAGACAAUAUUCAAUAAUCAAUCUUUAAUAUCCAAACACGUUUUGGAAUUUGAGAGUUGUGAUUUGGAAUUUGUUUGUAACUUGUAUCUUGGUGUUUGGAGAUUCCAGCGUGGAACGCUGGUUAGCGGCGAACGAGUCAGUAUUACCUUGGUACUUACCCCAGAGACGGGAAUAACACCGCGAAAGCGGUGCUAAUACCCGAUAGUCCCAACACAAUUUUUUGCGAGAAAGCAAGAAAAUUUUUUCGCAAAAAUUUGUGUUGGGUAAAGAUGCAAAUCACUUUGGGAGAGGCCUCGGUCUGAUCAGCUAGUUGGUAGGGUAACGGCCUACCAAGGCUACGACCAGUAGGGGGUGUGAGAGCAUGACCCCCGACGAGGGAACUGAGACACGGUCCCUACUCCUACGGGAGGCAGCAGUCGAGAAUAUUCGACAAUGGGCGAAAGCCUGAUCGAGCGACGCCGCGUGGAGGAAGAAGCCCUUCGGGGUGUAAACUCCUUUUCAUCAGGAAGAAGUCGUGUCGCUACGCGACACUCAAACGUAAAGCUAAAAGCAAAAAUAGUAAAAGUUUGGUAUAGCCCUUCGGGCGAUUAUAAUCCGCCGAAGGCGGUUACCAAAAUUUUGCAUUUUGACUUUUGCAUUUUGAUUUUGAGUGCUGCGCAGCGGCACGAUUGACGGUACUGGUGGAAUAAGAGGUUGCUAACUCUGUGCCAGCAGCCGCGGUAAUACAGAGACCUCGAGCGUUAUCCGGAUUUAUUGGGCGUAAAGCGUCUGCAGGUGGUAAGGAAAGUUCAUGGUUAAAGACCCGGGCUCAACCCGGGGAGUGCCGUGAAAACUACCUUGCUUUGAGGACAUGAGAGGCUACUAGAACUUACGGUGUAGGGGUGAAAUCCGUUGAUACCGUAGGGAAUACCAAGGGCGAAGGCAUGUAGCUGGCGUGCUCCUAACACUCAGAGACGAAAGCGUGGGUCGCGAAUGGGAUUAGAUACCCCAGUAGUCCACGCCCUAAACUAUGGAUGCUAGCUGUGGGGAGUAUCGACCCUCUCCGCGGCGAAGCUAACGCAUUAAGCAUCCCGCCUGGGAAGUACGGCCGCAAGGCUAAAACUCAAAGGAAUAGACGGGGACUUGCACAAGCGGUGGAGCAUGUGGUUCAAUUCGACAAUAACCGAGGAACCUUACCAGGGCUUGAAAUCCUAACGAAAUCUUUCCGAAAGGUUAGACCUCUCACAAGGACGGUAGGACAGGCGCUGCAUGGUUGUCGUCAGCUCGUGUCGUGAGAUGUUCCGUUCAGUCGGGUAACGAGCGCAACCCCUGUCGUGUGUUAUUUGUGUCACACGAGACUGCCCCGGCCAACGGGGAGGAAGGUGGGGACGACGUCAAAUCAGCAUGGCCCUCUGAUGCCCUGGGCCACACACGUGCUACAGUGGCCGAUACAAAGGGUUGCGAAGCAGCAAUGCGGAGCUAAUCCCUAAAAACCGGCCUCGGUUCGGAUUGAGGGCUGCAAUUCGCCCUCAUGAAGACGGAAUCGCUAGUAAUCGCGCAUCAGAAUGGCGCGGUGAAUACGUUCUCAAGUCUUGUACUCACCGCCCGUCAAGUCAGUGAAGCCGGCAGCACCCGAAUGUCCACAUUUGUGGGAACACGGUGAGGUCGGUGACAAGGACUAAGUCGUAACAAGGCAGCCGUAGCGGAAGCUGUGGCUGGAUCACCUCCUUUCUAG